rnacentral:misc_RNA from 1 species
GAUGAAGAACGCAGCGAAAUGCGAUAAGUAAUGUGAAUUGCAGAAUUCAGUGAAUCAUCGAGUUUUUGAACGCAUAUUGCGCCCUCUGGUAUUCCGGGGGGCAUGCCUGUUCGAGCGUCAUUAAAUAACCCUCAAGCAUAGCUUGGUGUUGGGCUUUUUUACGUCAUUGACUGGGAUGGGCCUAAAAAUUAGUGGCGAUGGCUUUUUUACUUUCAAGCGUAGUAAAUCUCGUCUUGCUAAAGAGGAAAAAGAUUUUUUUUCUGCCAAAAAUUUUAACAUUUAAAGUUGACCUCGGAUCAGGUAGGAUUACCCGCUGAACUUAAGCAUAUCAAUAAGCGGAGGA